GUGGUCAUAGUGUAGUGGUUAGCACCGGAGGCCGUGACCCUCCUGGCAUCAGUUCAAAUCUGAUUGAUCACCCC
rnacentral:tRNA from 1 species